rnacentral:lncRNA from 1 species
GGCAGGAACAACGACAUGUGUCGGUUCCUUGUGUCGUUAAAGCCGUUAUUUUACCAAAUUCCAUUUGACUCGGUGGCUGCAUAUUAAGCUGGAAUAAAAAAAAAUGUCCAACGACUAAAAGUGAAUUUUACAAGUAGAUAUAGCAGAAAAUGAAUAAAAAGAGUAAGACAAUAAUAAUAUCUAACAAAAGUACAAAUGUUUGCC